AUAAAUUAAGAGGAAAAUGUUGAAUAUUAAGGGGGAGAAUCGACGUAUUUGGAGCGAUUUAUAUGGUUCAUGAAUCAAUGAGGUUGGUAAAUGAUACAUCGUACACUGAGGGUGUAAUCGGAAUGGUCAACUUGGAUAAUCACAUAAAUUUAGCAAAACCCAUCGGGUUUAAUAACGAUAAAUCCUUGGAAAUACACAAAUUAACCUUAAUAUUCAAAUUAAAUAUAAGAUUUAAUCAAAGUUAUCGUAAAAGUGAAAUAAUUAAAUUUAUGGGGUUACAGCGCCAUCUCUUGAUGCAACUUAGAAAACCUUCAACAAAUUAUUAUGAAG